GUCAAAGGGUGGGGGCUCAAAGCUGUGCGUUUUAAUACUACUAUGAGUCUGCGUCCAUGACCACACGGAAUUGAAAUGGCGGAGACAACAGAUAGAAUGGAGAUUUCUCAGGGGGAGAGCUCGGCCAAGCCAGCAGCAGAAGACAUGACUUCUAAGGACUAUUACUUUGACUCAUACGCCCACUUCGGUAUCCAUGAGGAGAUGCUGAAAGAUGAGGUGCGCACCCUGACCUACCGGAACUCAAUGUUCCACAACAAGCACCUGUUCAAGGACAAGGUGGUGUUGGAUGUGGGCAGUGGGACUGGCAUUCUCUGCAUGUUUGCAGCCAAAGCUGGAGCCAAGAAGGUCAUAGGUAUUGAGUGCAGCAGUAUUUCUGACUACGCCGUGAAGAUAGUCAAGGCCAACAAAAUGGACCACAUUGUGACCAUCAUCAAGGGGAAGGUGGAGGAGGUGGACCUUCCUGUAGAGGGAGUGGACAUCAUCAUCUCAGAGUGGAUGGGCUACUGCCUCUUCUAUGAGUCCAUGCUCAACACUGUCAUCUACGCCAGGGACAAGUGGCUGAAACCAGAGGGCCUGAUUUUCCCAGACAGGGCUACCCUGUACGUCACAGCCAUUGAGGACAGGCAGUACAAGGACUACAAAAUCCACUGUGAGAAUUCCUCUAAAUUUUGGGGGUGGGAGAACGUGUACGGCUUCGAUAUGUCCUGCAUCAAGGAGGUGGCCAUCAAGGAGCCCCUAGUGGACGUGGUGGACCCCAAACAGCUGGUCAGCAGCGCCUGCCUCAUCAAGGAGGUGGACAUCUACACGGUGAAGAUCGACGACCUGUCCUUCACCUCACCAUUCUGCCUGCAGGUGAAGAGGAAUGAUUACAUUCACGCCCUCGUCACCUACUUCAACAUCGAGUUCACGCGCUGUCACAAGAGGACGGGCUUCUCCACCAGUCCAGAGUCCCCCUACACCCACUGGAAGCAGACUGUAUUCUACCUUGACGACUACCUGACUGUGAAGACUGGAGAGGAGAUUUUCGGCAACAUCAACAUGAAGCCCAAUGUCAAAAACAACAGAGACCUCGACUUCACAGUUGACAUAGACUUCAAGGGUCAGCUCUGUGAGGUGUCCAAGACCUCAGAGUACAGAAUGCGUUAGGUGCCCCCUUUUCCCACACCUCGUGUGUUUUGUGAAAGGGGGAGUGCUGAAGGAAGAGCAGCGCCAACUUGACACAACUGUGGGAAGCAUUGGAGUCAACAUUGGCCAGUAUCCCUGUGGAACGCUUUCGACACUUUGUAGAGUCCAUACCCCAACGAAUUAAGACUAUUCUGAAGGCAAAAGAGGGUGCAACUCAAUAUUAGGAAGGUGUUCCUAAUGUUUUGUGCACUAUAUUUUUGCUAGCUAUCCAUCUGAUUGAUGAAGUAGAGAAAAUGCCAUAGUUCGCAAGAUUGAAACUGCUGGGGGAAAGCUAGCUAACCUUUGCUGAUGUUAACUUCCACCAUCAGUCUGAGUUGAGUUCACCUUAGCUAAGUGGACUGUAGCUAGGUUUCUAGAAAAUAACAACUAGCUAUAUAAUUGUUAGUUAUAUUUUAAAGACUAGUUACUGAUAUUGAACACUUUUUGUCAAACUACUUUGUUCCCCUUCCUGUUUAUAGAUGAAUUGGUGACUGAAAAAUUUAGCAAUAUAAAUACCCCUCCUGAUUUCACUGCAUAUAAUUUGGGUGAUUUGGCUUGUGCACAUUUAGCUGAGUGUUUCAUUAUUUAGUUAAGUUACUGACUGACUAGGCUUAUUCUUAUUCAUGUUUUUGUUGUUGUUGCAUUUCAGGUGGAGAGUGAGUGGGAUCACAGAAAGCAGCAUGCUGCUGACCGACCAGGGCCCAUAUUCAUAAAGUAUCUCAGAGUAGGAGUGGUGAUUUAGGAUCAGUUUUGUCUUCACACAGAUUAUAAAUACAUUGACAAGGGGGAGCUGAUCAGAGAUCACUAUUCCUACUCUGAGACACUUUGUGGAUAUUGGUCCUGGAAGAAAGCUGUUGCCUAAUACUUUGCACAGCAGUCGUUCACCACAGUACCCUAGAGGUAUUACAGUCAAUGAUUAAUAACUGAAUAUUGUAUGUAAAUUGCAAUAUAUUUGUUGUUGAAGUAUAAAGACAUGUUUCAAAACAGGCUCGAAGGGUUGGUUGUCUCGAGGUUCCUCGGGUCUCCACUGAAUUGGGUAGAUCCGCUUUUAGUUUUUAUGAGCCCCGCUGCUGGAACAAUCUGCAGAUCUCGAAAUUGGAUGUUCUGGUGGCCACUCAGGCAGUUUAGUGUAUUGAUUGAAGACCUGGUAGCUGAGAGAUGUAGAUGUUAUCUAUGAUUCUAUUUUUGAUUUGUGUAUUGUAACUGUUGCUUGUAUUCUAUAAAAUUUGUAAAUUGUAAAAUGCAGGGCUCCCUUGUAAAAGAGACCUUGGUCUCAAUGGGACCCCCUGUUGAAAUAAAGGUAAAAUCAAAAUAAAUAUAUCAAUGACACUUAAGAAA